rnacentral:rRNA from 1 species
GAUGAACGCUGGCGGCGUGCCUAAUACAUGCAAGUGGAGCGAACAGAUGAGGAGCUUGCUCCUCUGACGUUAGCGGCGGACGGGGGAGUAAAACGUGGAUAACCUACCUAUAAGACUGGGAUAACUUCGGGAAACCGGAGCUAAUACCGGAUAAUAUAUUGAACCGCAUGGUUCAAUAGUGAAAGACGGUUUUGCUGUCACUUAUAGAUGGAUCCGCGCCGCAUUAGCUAGUUGGUAAGGUAACGGCUUACCAAGGCAACGAUGCGUAGCCGACCUGAGAGGGUGAUCGGCCACACUGGAACUGAGACACGGUCCAGACUCCUACGGGAGGCAGCAGUAGGGAAUCUUCCGCAAUGGGCGAAAGCCUGACGGAGCAACGCCGCGUGAGUGAUGAAGGUCUUCGGAUCGUAAAACUCUGUUAUUAGGGAAGAACAAAUGUGUAAGUAACUAUGCACGUCUUGACGGUACCUAAUCAGAAAGCCACGGCUAACUACGUG